rnacentral:rRNA from 1 species
GAUGAACGCUGGCGGCGUGCCUAAUACAUGCAAGUCGAGCGAACGGACGAGAAGCUUGCUUUUCUGAUGUUAGCGGCGGACGGGUGAGUAACACGUGGAUAACCUACCUAUAAGACUGGGAUAACUUCGGGAAACCGGAGCUAAUACCGGAUAAUAUUUUGAACCGCAUGGUUCAAAAGUGAAAGACGGUCUUGCUGUCACUUAUAGAUGGAUCCGCGCUGCAUUAGCUAGUUGGUAAGGUAACGGCUUACCAAGGCAACGAUGCAUAGCCGACCUGAGAGGGUGAUCGGCCACACUGGAACUGAGACACGGUCCAGACUCCUACGGGAGGCAGCAGUAGGGAAUCUUCCGCAAUGGGCGAAAGCCUGACGGAGCAACGCCGCGUGAGUGAUGAAGGUCUUCGGAUCGUAAAACUCUGUUAUUAGGGAAGAACAUAUGUGUAAGUAACUGUGCACAUCUUGACGGUACCUAAUCAGAAAGCCACGGCUAACUACGUGCCAGCAGCCGCGGUAAUACGUAGGUGGCAAGCGUUAUCCGGAAUUAUUGGGCGUAAAGCGCGCGUAGGCGGUUUUUUAAGUCUGAUGUGAAAGCCCACGGCUCAACCGUGGAGGGUCAUUGGAAACUGGAAAACUUGAGUGCAGAAGAGGAAAGUGGAAUUCCAUGUGUAGCGGUGAAAUGCGCAGAGAUAUGGAGGAACACCAGUGGCGAAGGCGACUUUCUGGUCUGUAACUGACGCUGAUGUGCGAAAGCGUGGGGAUCAAACAGGAUUAGAUACCCUGGUAGUCCACGCCGUAAACGAUGAGUGCUAAGUGUUAGGGGGUUUCCGCCCCUUAGUGCUGCAGCUAACGCAUUAAGCACUCCGCCUGGGGAGUACGACCGCAAGGUUGAAACUCAAAGGAAUUGACGGGGACCCGCACAAGCGGUGGAGCAUGUGGUUUAAUUCGAAGCAACGCGAAGAACCUUACCAAAUCUUGACAUCCUUUGACAACUCUAGAGAUAGAGCCUUCCCCUUCGGGGGACAAAGUGACAGGUGGUGCAUGGUUGUCGUCAGCUCGUGUCGUGAGAUGUUGGGUUAAGUCACGCAACGAACGCAACCCUUAAGCUUAGUUGCCAUCAUUAAGUUGGGCACUCUAAGUUGACUGCCGGUGACAAACCGGAGGAAGGUGGGGAUGACGUCAAAUCAUCAUGCCCCUUAUGAUUUGGGCUACACACGUGCUACAAUGGACAAUACAAAGGGCAGCGAAACCGCGAGGUCAAGCAAAUCCCAUAAAGUUGUUCUCAGUUCGGAUUGUAGUCUGCAACUCGACUACAUGAAGCUGGAAUCGCUAGUAAUCGUAGAUCAGCAUGCUACGGUGAAUACGUUCCCGGGUCU